GAUGAACGCUGGCGGCGUGCCUAAUACAUGCAAGUCGAGCGAACGGACGAGAAGCUUGCUUCUCUGAUGUUAGCGGCGGACGGGUGAGUAACACGUGGAUAACCUACCUAUAAGACUGGGAUAACUUCGGGAAACCGGAGCUAAUACCGGAUAAUAUUUUGAACCGCAUGGUUCAAUAGUGAAAGACGGUCUUGCUGUCACUUAUAGAUGGAUCCGCGCUGCAUUAGCUAGUUGGUAAGGUAACGGCUUACCAAGGCAACGAUGCGUAGCCGACCUGAGAGGGUGGUCGGCCACCCUGGAACUGGGCCACGGUCCAGACUCCUACGGGAGGCAGCAGUAGGGAAUCUUCCGCAAUGGGCGAAAGCCUGACGGAGCAACGCCGCGUGAGUGAUGGAGGUCUUCGGUUCGUAAAACUCUGUUAUUAGGGAAGAACAUAUGUGUAAUUAACUGUGCACAUCUUGACGGUACCUAAUCAGAAAGCCACGGCUAACUACGUG
rnacentral:rRNA from 1 species